GCAAUACAUUAAAACAAGACAAUGUUCACUGUUCAAGAUAUUUAGAAUAAUGUGUUUACUCUUGCUAAGAAUUUUGUUUCAGCCUGUAGGAAAGCAGAGCAAUGAUAGCACAGUUCACAUGGGCCACAUAGUCCCUCUGUUGCCUCAGGACUUUGCUAUUUCAGACUACACUGAGCAUUUACUGCUGUAAAAGAUAUGAAAAUUUGCAAAAUUUGUGAAGACGGAUUACUACAUGUGGACUUCUUGGCUUGUCCUCUGAAGAUGUGGGCCCCACUCAUACCUGUUCUUCUGCAUAGACUGAAUAUGGUUGUGGCAUGAAGUGUAAAUUCAUCUUUCUACUACAUACAAGUUUCCUCAAAUGAUCAGCCAUCUUGCUACGGUCCUACCUUUUGUAAUUCUCUCUAAACUAUCUUUUACCCCUAUCAGGUUCUCAGUGCCCGUGGGCAUACCUCCUGCGAUACUGCCAGCAGCAUCGAUGGCACCUGUGAGACCUGGCAGUCAGCUUUGUUACCUGUUAUCUCCAGCACCUGGAAAAAGGAGAAUAACCUUCCUCCACUAAAGUCUGUUUUGAAAUGAGGCAAGGUACUGUUGCAAAGUGCUAGCAAUAGUCUCUUUGGACUCUUUCUUCUUGGUGGAAAAAAAUAAUGCAAGAGCAGCUGUAUGAAAUGCAUUUCUGGUCCAAUAACUUGUUUCCAGAUGAACAUGUGCCUCCUGUGACUAGAAAAUGGGACAACUCAAUUUCCAGCAUGAGGAAGGCUGACUUGCUCAUCUCUGGAUUAUCUGCCUUACUCCUGCACCAGAACUGGGAUGCAUUUUUUUUGUUGGAAUAGUGCACAGCUGCGAGGGACAUGACACUUGCAGCUGGAGCCUCUUGCCUCCAAAAGGUGCUGUGAACUGGCUGCUGGGGGGAGCAGGUGGGCAGAAGGCAACUGGGGUGCCCCAGGUGGGGUGUCUGUCGGGGUGAAUACCGUUUGCAGGGCUUCAACAUACAUCUGUUUUGUUAGUGAUAACUGGUUUACUGAAGUUCUAGGGGUUCUUGGGUUUUGCAGGAUUGAAGACAGGGGAAAAGAGCAAAAGGGUUGUUCUGUCUGGAUUUGUUGAAAAAGCCCUGCGACAGUCCACUUAAGUCGAUGCACCUCUCACAUGUAUGGUUACAGAAAGCCUCGGGGAAAAGGUUGGUUAUAAAACACAAUGGGGAAGUCAGGUGGGUAUUUCCUAUGAUAGAAGAGGGAAGGCUUGUUUCUUUAAUAAAUCUACUGCUAAAGUUUUUUUUACUAUGAGCGGGGAAUGGAGAAGCAGACUUUCACUGUCUGUUAAGUUAUUCAGGAUUAUGUCAAAGAUGCACUUCGUCAAGCAAAUAUUCUGUGCAGUCAGGAGUUUCAGCAGUGGUAAUUGCUGGGGGUAACUGGCCAAAUACCUUUACUGACCACCACUUUAAGCUGAAAAGAGAUGUCUAUUUUGUUACAGUGAAAGGUGCAAAAAUAAAGCAGGUCCUCCUCACAUUUAAAACCCCGUAACUGUAGGGUGUUUCCUGCUUUCCAGCUUGCAUAGAGUUUAGGGAGAUAAAGGGAGACCUCACGUCCAGUGUGAGGUCUCAGACAACAUCGUAUCUGUCUUGCCAGUUUCCUAAACAUAAGGAAGUGCAUCAU